rnacentral:rRNA from 1 species
CCUACGGGGGGCAGCAGUGAGGAAUAUUGGUCAAUGGACGAGAGUCUGAACCAGCCAAGUAGCGUGAAGGCAGAAUGCCCUCUGGGUUGUAAACUUCUUUUAUAAAGGAAUAAAACGAGGCAUGUCUGCCUUUUUGCAUGUACUUUAUGAAUAAGGAUCGGCUAACUCCGUGCCAGCAUCUGCGGUAAUACGUAGGAUCCGAGCGUUAUCCUGAUUUAUUGGGUUUAAAGGGAGCGUAGAUGGGUUGUUAAGUCAGUUGUGAAAGGUUGCGGCUCAACCGUAAAAUUGCAGUUGAUACUGGCAGUCUUGAGUACAGUUGAGGUAAGCGGAAUUCGUGGUGUAGCGGUGAAAUGCUUAGAUAUCACGAAGAACCCCGAUUGCGAAGGCAGCUUACUAAACUGUGACUGACAUUGAUGCUCGAAAGUGUGGGUAUCAAACAGGAUUAGAUACCCCUGUAGUC